rnacentral:misc_RNA from 1 species
GAUGAAGAACGCAGCGAAAUGCGAUAAGUAAUGUGAAUUGCAGAAUUCCGUGAAUCAUCGAAUCUUUGAACGCACAUUGCGCCCUUUGGUAUUCCAAAGGGCAUGCCUGUUCGAGCGUCAUUUGUACCCUCAAGCUUUGCUUGGUGUUGGGCGUCUUGUCUCUAGCUUUGCUGGAGACUCGCCUUAAAGUAAUUGGCAGCCGGCCUACUGGUUUCGGAGCGGAGCACAAGUCGCACUCUCUAUCAGCAAAGGUCUAGCAUCCAUUAAGCCUUUUUUUCAACUUUUGACCUCGGAUCAGGUAGGGAUACCCGCUGAACUUAAGCAUAUCAAUAAGCGGAGGA